CCCGGUUUGCAGAUCAUACCCGAGUUCCUGCUGCUGAAAUGGGUAGCACUGAAGCCCCAACGCCCGUGCAGGCACCUGUGUACUCCAUUGUGAACGAAGGCCCAGCAGCUCCAGCUGCCUGCUCCAUUGUGAACGAAGCCCCAGCUCCCUGGGCCUGACCUGUGGCAAAUGGCAAGCUGCUUGUCACCUGAACAAAGGGAGAAAAGGAAGAGGGAUGGAGAUGAUGAUGCCAUGGAUAAAAUGGAAAUGGCGAGAGUUCUUCAUGCAGCAAGAAACCAAGCGCACCUGUACACACGACUGUGAGGAUCCCGAUGGACACUUAGAGAGAGAGAGAAGGAAGAUGGCGGACGAGCGCUUCUCCACCAUCAUCAUCGGCGUACUUACCUGCCUCUGCACCACCAUCUUCGU